CACGGGGGGAGCAAGCGUUGUUCGGAAUCACUGGGCGUAAAGGGCGUGUAGGCGGUCAAGUAAGUGGAAUGUGAAAGCCCCCCGGCUUACCCGGGGAUCUGCAUCCCAAACUGCUUGGCUUGAGUACGGGAGAGGAUAGGGGAAUUCCUGGUGUAGCGGUGAAAUGCGUAGAUAUCAGGAGGAACACCGGUGGCGAAGGCGGGUCUCGUGGGCCGAUACUGACGCUGGAGGAGCGAAAGCGUGGGGAGCGAACGG
rnacentral:rRNA from 1 species